GGGCUAGCGUUGCUCGGAAUGACUGGGCGUAAAGGGCGCGUAGGCGGAUGGCACAGUCAGAUGUGAAAUUCCCGGGCUUAACCUGGGGGCUGCAUUUGAUACGUGUUGUCUUGAGUUCGGAAGAGGGUCGUGGAAUUCCCAGUGUAGAGGUGAAAUUCGUAGAUAUUGGGAAGAACACCGGUGGCGAAGGCGGCGACCUGGUCCGACACUGACGCUGAGAGACGAAAGCUAGGGGAGCGAAUGGG
rnacentral:rRNA from 1 species